UAACUUUGAGUGUUAUCACAAAAAAUUUUGAGUUUUUAAAAAAUAAUUAAAUUUAUUAAAGUUAAUUA
rnacentral:tRNA from 1 species